rnacentral:lncRNA from 1 species
GAGAAGGGAGGAGUUAUUCAGGCCUCCGCCAGCUUCUAGGCCCUGGGGAUGGUCUUUCACCUCCCUCUUUCUGAUCUCUUUUUCAUGCUCCUCCUUGCUCCAAAGAAAAGCCGGAUGGCAAAAGAGCCCAGAACCUAUUGGAACUGACAAAAUCAAGUCACGGCGCCUACAAAGAUGAGGGGCAGAUUCUGGCUGCCUUUUAAUUUCGUCCUUCACCUGAUAUCUGUGCCAGAGAAUGAUAAAAAUCAUAAUAAAGGAAAUAAUGGAAGAGGAGACUUAUGUUACUGGGGACAUCUAACAUAAUUAUUUUCCUGAUUCAGUGGCAUGGUUCAGUCUUCCAGGAGUUCUGCUACAGAGAAGAGAGUAACCCCCAUCCAUCAUGGCCAAAGCACCCAGUCAGGCUCCGCUCUGGAUCCAGCCCGACAAAUGCAACCCUUGAAUAGGGUUUGUGCAAGCAAACUGGAUGACGACCGAAGAAACCCUGUCGCUUCUGAGAAGACACCCAAUCCAAGAAUGUGAGUUCUGGAAAUGUCAUUAAAUGUCAGUUAUAUACAUGCAAAAAAAAAAAAAAAAA